rnacentral:rRNA from 1 species
GGCCCUACGGGGCGCAGCAGGCGCGAAACCUCUGCAAUGCGGGAAACCGUGACAGGGGGAUCCCAAGUGCUCAUGCAUUGCAUGGGCUGUUCUUUGGUCUAAGUAACCAGAGGAGUAAGGGCUGGGCAAGACCGGUGCCAGCCGCCGCGGUAAUACCGGCAGCUCAAGUGGUAGCCGCGAUUAUUGGGCCUAAAACGUUCGUAGCCGGAUAAGUAAGUCUUUGGUUAAAUCCUGCGACUCAACCGUGGGAAUUCUAGAGAUACUGCUCGUCUUGAGACCGGGAGAGGUUGGAGGUACUCCUAGGGUAGGGGUGAAAUCCUGUAAUCCUAGGGGGACCACCUGUGGCGAAGGCGUCCAACUGGAACGGGUCUGACGGUGAGGGACGAAACCUAGGGGAGCGAGCCGGAUUAGAUACCCGGGUAGUCCUAGGCGUAAAUGAUGCGAGUUAAGUGUGGGGGCAUCUACGAGAUGGCCCUGUGCUGUAGGGUAGCCGUUAAACUCGCUGCCUGGGGAGUACGGUCGCAAGGCUGAAACUUAAAGGAAUUGGCGGGGGAGCACCACAAGAGGUGGAGGCUGCGGUUCAAUUGGACUCAACGCCGGAAAACUCAUC